AAAAGCCCGCUCGCCGGAAGACCAAGGGUUCCUGUCCAACGUUAAUCGGGGCAGGGUGAGUCGACCCCUAAGGCGAGGCCGAAAGGCGUAGUCGAUGGGAAACAGGUUAAUAUUCCUGUACUUGGUGUUACUGCGAAGGGGGGACGGAGAAGGCUAUGUUGGCCGGGCGACGGUUGUCCCGGUUUAAGCGUGUAGGCUGGUUUUCCAGGCAAAUCCGGAAAACUAAGGCUGAGGCGUGAUGACGAGGCACUACGGUGCUGAAGCAACAAAUGCCCUGCUUCCAGGAAAAGCCUCUAAGCAUCAGGUAACAUCAAAUCGUACCCCAAACCGACACAGGUGGUCAGGUAGAGAAUACCAAGGCGCUUGAGAGAACUCGGGUGAAGGAACUAGGCAAAAUGGUGCCGUAACUUCGGGAGAAGGCACGCUGAUAUGUAGGUGAAGUCCCUCGCGGAUGGAGCUGAAAUCAGUCGAAGAUACCAGCUGGCUGCAACUGUUUAUUAAAAACACAGCACUGUGCAAACACGAAAGUGGACGUAUACGGUGUGACGCCUGCCCGGUGCCGGAAGGUUAAUUGAUGGGGUCAGCGCAAGCGAAGCUCUUGAUCGAAGCCCCGGUAAACGGCGGCCGUAACUAUAACGGUCCUAAGGUAGCGAAAUUCCUUGUCGGGUAAGUUCCGACCUGCACGAAUGGCGUAAUGAUGGCCAGGCUGUCUCCACCCGAGACUCAGUGAAAUUGAACUCGCUGUGAAGAUGCAGUGUACCCGCGGCAAGACGGAAAGACCCCGUGAACCUUUACUAUAGCUUGACACUGAACAUUGAGCCUUGAUGUGUAGGAUAGGUGGGAGGCUUUGAAGUGUGGACGCCAGUCUGCAUGGAGCCGACCUUGAAAUACCACCCUUUAAUGUUUGAUGUUCUAACGUUGACCCGUAAUCCGGGUUGCGGACAGUGUCUGGUGGGUAGUUUGACUGGGGCGGUCUCCUCCUAAAGAGUAACGGAGGAGCACGAAGGUUGGCUAAUCCUGGUCGGACAUCAGGAGGUUAGUGCAAUGGCAUAAGCCAGCUUGACUGCGAGCGUGACGGCGCGAGCAGGUGCGAAAGCAGGUCAUAGUGAUCCGGUGGUUCUGAAUGGAAGGGCCAUCGCUCAACGGAUAAAAGGUACUCCGGGGAUAACAGGCUGAUACCGCCCAAGAGUUCAUAUCGACGGCGGUGUUUGGCACCUCGAUGUCGGCUCAUCACAUCCUGGGGCUGAAGUAGGUCCCAAGGGUAUGGCUGUUCGCCAUUUAAAGUGGUACGCGAGCUGGGUUUAGAACGUCGUGAGACAGUUCGGUCCCUAUCUGCCGUGGGCGCUGGAGAACUGAGGGGGGCUGCUCCUAGUACGAGAGGACCGGAGUGGACGCAUCACUGGUGUUCGGGUUGUCAUGCCAAUGGCACUGCCCGGUAGCUAAAUGCGGAAGAGAUAAGUGCUGAAAGCAUCUAAGCACGAAACUUGCCCCGAGAUGAGUUCUCCCUGACUCCUUGAGAGUCCUGAAGGAACGUUGAAG
rnacentral:rRNA from 1 species